AAUUUUGCAUCUGUGUCAGGUGCCAUUGGCCUAAGAGGGAAUCCCGUGAAAGUCGGGAACGAGCCCAUCGCUGUAAUCGGGGACAAACACCGCCAUGAAGUCACUGGAGGGAUUGAAAGCCCAAGGGAUCAAUAUUUUCUUUGGUUUCAAUGAUCCGGGAAGACGCGGUGAAGCGGACGAUCCGAAAGUCAGAAGACCUGCCUGGACAAUAAUGGCUGU
rnacentral:ncRNA from 2 species